AGAGUUUGAUCAUGGCUCAGGACGAACGCUGGCGGCGUGCUUAACACAUGCAAGUCAAGGAGAAAGUCCCGCUUGCGGGAUGAUUAAACUGGCGCACGGGUGAGGAAUAUAUAAGCAAUCUACCCAUAGGUUCGGAAUAACGUCGAGAAAUCGGCGCUAAUACCGUAUAAUGCAGCGGCAUCGCAUGAUGAUGUUGUUAAAGUUCUUGAAACGCCUGUGGAUGAGCUUGUAUCUGAUUAGCUAGUUGGUGGGGUAAGGGCUCACCAAGGCUACGAUCAGUAGCUGGUCUGAGAGGAUGAUCAGCCACAUUGGAACUGAGACACGGUCCAGACUCCUACGGGAGGCAGCAGUGAGGAAUAUUGGGCAAUGGGCGUAAGCCUGACCCAGCAACGCCGCGUGGAGGAUGAAUGUCGUAAGAUUGUAAACUCCUUUUAGAGGGGACGAAAAAACAGGUUGGAAGCCUGAAUUGACGGUACCCUCAGAAUAAGCCCCGGCUAACUACGUGCCAGCAGCCGCGGUAAUACGUAGGGGGCAAGCGUUGUCCGGAUUUACUGGGUGUAAAGGGCGCGCAGGUGGGUUUGCAAGUCAGGGGUGAAAUCCUACAGCUUAACUGUAGAACUGCCUUUGAUACUGCAAAUCUUGAGUACGGAAGAGAGAGGCGGAAUUUCAGGUGUAGUGGUGAAAUACGUAGAUAUCUGGA
rnacentral:rRNA from 1 species